rnacentral:lncRNA from 1 species
CGCCCAUUGGUCGUCGCCCGUCGCCCGUCAGGCCAGCGACGCCUCCCAUUGGCCGGCGCCUCCGCCCCGCCGCCGCCCCUCGGAAAAUAAUAAACAAUCGAGUAAAAUGCGGCGCGGGGUGGGGGUCCGGGCGGGCUUCGCUCCCCCUCCCCUGGAGCUGCCCCUCGCUCCGGGCGCUGCCUGCAGCCCUGCCGCCAGAAAAGCCUUUCCUGAAGGUGCCGCAGCGCUCGCACGAAAAUUGCCUUCAGCCAGAAGCUACUGCUGCACCGAGGACCAAGCAAAGCCAUCUCUCGGCUUUCUCCGAUCCCCUUGUCUCAAAGCUAAGUUGUGCCAGGCUGCAGGUGCCCUCCAGAUGUGGGUUCGAGGCAGUGGAGAGCUGUGUGCGGUGCGAGGCGAAGGGACUGGGUGGCUUUCCUGUAGCACUAGAGCUUGUUCAUCAUGGCUGUGCCUUCCAUCAUUCUUUGCAGUGGCAGUGGGGACUGUUCUACUUGCAGGAAUGUUGGGACUAAUCAUGUGA